rnacentral:lncRNA from 1 species
UACUCCUGAGUAGAAAGAUUAUUUUUUUUAACAAAAUUGGUGUGUGUGUAUGUGUGUGAAGUUCAAUUUUAAAUCAGGUAAGUUAUUUUUCAUAUAGUGAAACUGUUUGGAUCUUUUUUUUUUUUUCUCUUUUUUCUUUUUUCUAGUUAUCAGAACUAUUGAAAGCAUCAAGGACACCAGUGUAACACCUUGCUUCUUUCACAAACAUUUUGUAAAUAUAAAAGCCAUAGUAAUAGCAAGACAUACCUCAACUCAAAAUUUUGAAAAACCUGAAAUUUUCAGAUUCCUUUUGGCAUAUAUCAUCAAUAUUUCUAUAUCACACAGUAGAUGAGUCUGUAAGGUACAUCGGUAGAGCCUCUAGAUCCUCUAAACCCUCUACCAAGGGAUGACUUCAGGAAACCAAACACCACCCCAAACAAAAGUAAUACAAAACGUUAAAUCAUAAUUAGUUACUGGAAUCUCACCAUUACAUAGAUGAUGCUUCAAAUUUCGAAUCAUUACAGUUUAAAUAAAUGUUAAGCAGGUUGGAGGAAAAAAAAAAAAAAAGAAAAAAAAAAAGAUAAAACACAAGCAAGUAUACACUAUAAUAUGUUACUUUGGUUUUAUAUAUAUAUAAGUAUGAUACACUUCAUAUAGACAUACCAGACAAAAGAAAUUCCAGCUCAUAUGAGGAAUCAUUAUUAUAAUUAAGGUAAAUCACACCUCAAUUUAAUGAAAUUUUGUAUUUACCAUAUUAUUAUUUUUUUUUCAGAUAUAAUGACAGAUUUUCAUCACCCAGUCUCAGAAAGGGAUUCAGUGACUGCUAACUGAGCAGAUGGAGCAGUACCAACACAUGUGAGAAGAAAACAUUCAUCAUCUGAGCAGAGCUCUAUACAAAUGGCAAUCCUGCUUCUGAAGGCUGAGUACCCUUGCUCAUCACCAUGGCACGGAGUGAAAACUGAAAAAUCCUGUUCAUUCCAGAAAUUUAAUAAUCUUUAUGUUAAAGUCAGAAGGAAUUUUAUUCUUCAUUUCUGACUUCACCAUGGAUAAGAGAGUCUUGAGUUUUCAUCACCAAAAUGAAAUCUAAAUAUAUAAAUCUAUAUAAUAUUUAUAAUAUUCUAUUUAUAAUAAUUUAUAAUCUAAAUAUAUAAAAUCUGAAUCUAAAUCUAAAUAUAUAUGGUAUCAGACACAGAUCUAUUAUUAAAAAUUCCUUACAUGAGUAAAUGGUAAGUUAUUACCAUUGCCCCACUUGUUAAAUUAGAUCAGAAUCUAUUCAGAACAAGGAGAAUAUAUAUUACCAUCACAAACUGUUGAAUAUUCAUCACAAAGG